rnacentral:lncRNA from 1 species
GAGGGCUUGCUGUAGCUACUCUGAGCAGAGACUCAGAGAGAGGUUACCACCACAGACUAAAUGAUCUGCUCUUGGAGUAGUGGUCACCUCACAAGCUUCUUGAGGACUAUCCAACUCUCUGAGGAUGACUGUACCCAAAGGGCGGCACAAUGGAGCACCUACCUAUACAAGUGACUCAGCGAAUUGUGGUGAAUGCAUAUACAAGAGCUAACAAGCUGUGGGUCAAGAACUAUCAGAGCCCAUCAUUACAGAUGAGAACGAACACUCGUUGUCUUUGCAUACUAUCUGAGUCUGGGGUCUUCCUUCAGCGAUUUUCAGACCCUUGCAAACUCAACGAUGUUUUGAAUUGGUGAAUGAUGCUGUGGAUAUUGUGUGGUCUCUCUGUCCAGGACCACGGCACUAUGCUCCAGCCUCUGGAUGUGCUGCUGCUAAGACUCCCAGCUGGCUUUUCUCUAGGUCUCUCCACUAGAAGAAGGUUCCAAUCCCUCCCCAGGGAUUGCAUCCAAGACUCGCCUGUGCAAGAAUGAAAAGAUCAAUCCCAAUUGAAGACGACUGAGUUCCAUCUGAGGGUUGCUCAGCUGAAGUGUGUC